CAAGGAGAACAGCUACAUCAUGAUCAUUUCUUUCCCUAUUAGGUUAUGGCCAGCUGCUUCUUUAAGAAAAAAAAAAAAAAAAAAAGGACUCUAUUAGACUCUGUAUUAAUGUAGGUUUUAGUUAAUAUUUUCCCCAAAUCUGAGCCACGUGUUCCCAUUAGGGUGCCAUGAAGGGAGAGAUCAUCAUAAAACACAUACCUGGAGGCUGGGGCAGCCACGCCCACCAUCUCGAAGGAGAGGCAUUAGUGGUGGUUAAUCACCUGUAAGGGUGCCUUCGUUCCUUUGCAGCUGCUGCUCCUUUUCCUAACAGCCGCACUCAUGCUUGGAGGCGUUCUUAAAGGUCAGCUGUUCCUCCCUCAGCAGCUUAAAAUUUCCACCACCCAUGGUCAGUUGUGUUUCCCCCCCGCCCCGCCGCAAAACUACUAUGGCCGCCCUUGAGCCAGACUACCUGUCCACCGCCCGCAGGGUAAAAAGUGUGGUAGGACAACUGCCGAAGGUCUGGACCCAUGAGCUAGUGCUGCUGUAAUGUUUUCGAGCUUGGAAAAAGUGCAGCAGCUCUGACAUAAGGGAAGAAAACUCUAGCCACAAAGGUCAAGGUAUGAUUAUGCCAAUGGGUGGCUAAGGGCAAGUCAAAGAAAGAGUUUUUUGAGCACUGGCGGUCAAGAAGUGUGUGUGGAGUAGCUAUUCAUCCUGGAAACUGUCAUUCUGGCAUCUGUUGCCUCCUUGCGGAGAUCGCUACACAGGAAGACUGCAAAGCACGAGCUGACACCGCUGAGGGCAGCAGAAGCCUAUGCUUGGGCCAUCAAGUCUAAUCUGCUGAGACUUUCAAUCAAAACUGUGGCACAGUCAUUAGGACCUCAACAAAGCCACUUGAGUUUGAUUCAGAAGCACAUUAAUAAAGUAAGGCUGAGAAACAGGAAAGUAGUGUGGUUGGCAUCCCAGAAAAUCGAUAACCAACAUUUGUAGGGGCUUUGAGGAGUGUGUACUUCGAGCAAGAGGCAAUCUUUGGUUGGAAAAGUCAGCAUUUCUAUCACCUCCUGGAGGCAGUUUGACAUUCCUCAUCUGGAACAGAAUGUUAUCCACUGAGAUGUGUUCCUUCCCACCUCCCCACUAUAAAGGUUGUUGUCAUUGUAAGUCAGAGGAAGACUGGAGAUCCAGAACUUGAGGGGGCCGCCAACGCCUACAUCCGGUGCAGGAUCAGGUCAGGUAAUCAUUCCUGCCUCAUAUUCUAGUGCUCUGCUUUGUUUGAGACAUUGCAUUGAUUGGAGGCAGGGUUGCAUUUUUCUCUUGGGAGUUGGAAAGGGCAGGGUUUAAAACCUAGCUAUGUCCAUUUCCAUGUGAGCCUGAAGAGGUUGUUGAACCUUUUCAAGCCUCCAUUUUGUCACCUGUAAAAUGGAGGUUUUGUACUUACUCUUUGGAUUGAUGAGAUGAGUAAUGUGCUUAGCAUACACUAAGGGGUUAAUAAACGGUAGCCAUAAUUAUAAUAGUUACUACCCAUGUGUUCACUUUCACCCGAGUCAGAUUUGAUAAGAGAAACCAAUACGUGCCACACAGCAUAAUAUUUUGCAAAAUAUUUAGAAAUUCCCCAAACUGUUACUACUCAUGUUUUCAAUGUAUCUCAACCAUAAUCCUCUUCAAGUCCUUCUAGUUGUCAAAACAGCCUGAUUAAACAGUGGGAAUUUGAUACUAUGCUUGUUUUGCCUCAUUAGCACAACAGUGUGAACAGGGACGGGGUGGGGGGGCACCUGAGAGGGGGUGUCGGAGCAGAACGGCUAAGUAGGAAAACUAGUGGCCUCAGAAUGUAGACCGUAUUCUCAGGAACUGUUCUCAUAAUUUAUUCCUGCUCAGAUUGAAGGAAAACAGGAUGUGGCAUUUGUUUUCAAAUAGAAAACUGGAUGUAAACGGCAUGACUUUUACAAACUUUGCAGUUUUCUGAGACCACGGGAUGAAGUACUGAGACUGGCUACCUUAGACACGAGGAGGAUUAAACAGGGAUUCCUUGCAGCUCUGUGCUCAUCCAAUAAGGGGGCUACAGGAGAAAGCAAAAGCAAACAGCAAAACACUAAGUGGAGAAGGAUUCUUUUGGCUUCCUGAGUUACCUGCAUCCUUUUGCAAGGCUGAGUCAGUAUCCCUAGUCCUACUGGCAUUUGUACAAUUUCUUCAAGUUCACAGCUCUCUCUCACUUACUGUCUUUAAGUCACAUAUAUUAGGGUUCAUGUAUUCAAACAAGAAUGCCGUAACUACACGAGUUAGACUGGGAGCGGAGAGCCCUGGAGCAGAACCACCCUGGUGGAAAGCAUGAGAUCUGGCAGCCGUCCAGUGAGGAGCCUGGAAUGACAGAGGAAGAUAUAUUUGUACACCACACUGCCGUGAACAAGAAGGAACCCAGGAAGUGCCUUUGCGGUGUGGGAGGAGAGGUGAUGGGGUUUGACGUUCACGAAGGGGAGAGCCUGAGGAGACAGCAAAUGUGGCAGGCCCUGGAGGUGGAGCUCCAGGACAAGGGAGGAAAAUACCCAACAGCAGCCCCUAACCAUUACGGAUGCCGUCCAGGUCGCAGGGGUCCACCCGCAGUUCCCGCCAGAACCGCCGGCAGGGUCAGAGUGGGGAAAGGAGGAUGCGUGGGGAGAGCCCUCCGAGGCCAGGAGCCCUCAGCACUGCAGGACUCAGCUCGCACGUGGCCACAGGUGCAGAGCCGAGAGGUGGCAACCACCUCGGGUGCAGGGAGAAGUGCUGGAGGGCACCAUACCUGGGUGCCGAAGAACAAGGUAGACCAGUGAGACAGUUUGUAUGGCAGUUACAGACCACCAUGCUGCUGGGGGCCCUCCCACCUCAGACUGCCUAGAGAAGACAAGGAAAGUGAAUGAGAUGAGACCCAAGGUCAGCAGCCACCUCAGCGCUGGUCACAGAUGCCCAGAAAACCCUCAACCACACUAUGUCUGGAACACAAAAGCAGCCCAGCUGAGGAUUUGUCUGGUCCCGAGGUAGAGCAGGGCGGGGCCGAGUAAAUGCGACCUACAUCUCUACCAUCAUCCUGUCUAGUCAUCCAACAAGAAGAAAUGAAUUUGAAAUUCCAGUAACGAGAAAACGGUGCCAAAGAUCAGAAGUGCUUGCUUUUUUUUUUGCUCACUGACCAGAUAAACGAGAACUACCUGUAUUAUCUGUGCAGCAUGGGGUUUUUAUUUUGACCUUAAAGACAUCUCUUUUUGGUAAUGACAGAUACUUUUUCUUCUCUCUCUCUCUUUUAAAGUCUGGCUUUUCUCAACACACCUUGAAAGGGUUUUAAUUGCUUCAUAUCUGGUCAAGGGGAGACUUUUAAGAACCUCAUUUUUAAUUUGUAAUAAAAGUUUAGAACUUGAUUUUUUUCAAAAAAGUCAACAAACAGCAAUCACCUGUUAAUAAAGGUCUUAAGAAAAACAAGAGUAUUAUAGAUAAGCUAUUGUUUCUAUGAAUUUCUUGCUACUAGUGGGGAAGGUACACAUCUACCCUGUUGUGUAAAAGAUUUCACAAAGCCAAAUGCUUGCAUCUUAGGAAAGCAAAAGAACUGAGCUGGCUUUCUCUAAAACAAAUAAAGCAAAACAAACUAUGCUGGUUUUUACUCAAUACCUUUUCUAGUCUGAUCUGCUCCCACGAUGUCUUGGGGAAAUUCAGACAUACAGCCAAGAAAAGGUGAAGGAGAUAUGGGCUUCCAGCCUCAGACUGGAGACACUCUCUUACUGCAUGGGGGUUAUUUAUUCUCACUAGGUUCACUAUGUUUGUGUAUAAAAGAAAGACUGAUUGAAAAGAUGAUCUACUCUG